UUUCAAACGUAACCGGGACAAAAAUGUACCCAAUCGACUCGCAAUUUACUCCAUUUGCGACCCUACACGAACUAGAGUACGCUUCCUGAAAUGUAAAACCAAAUUUGACAAAAUCUAAAUGUGCAUUGUUCCCUAAAACUGACAAUGCUGAACCGCUAUCGGCCAAUCCAUAAAUCUCGAAAUCAUUCGCCUUAAAUUUCAAAUACGGUCUAAUAUCGUCUUUAUUUGGAGCAAACAGAAUCGUAGCAAUCGAACUAGCAUUUUUAUUUUGUUCAAUCGAUUUAAAGUUUAAUCGAUUCGAUUGACACUUGCUACGAUUCAACCUUAGGCGUUUUUUGACUGUGGUUGCAUUGGUUUCUGAACGCUACCCUUUUGACAGAUUUCACAUUCCGAUCGAAUUGUAUUUGCUUUUCCACAACCAAAACAGCUAUACGAAUUUAAUUUAGGCUUUUCCUUACACAAUUUAAAGUUAUGAUCCGGUUUUCCGCAUUUGUAACACACUCCACGAUGUGGUUUCGAAAAUUUCGCGUCCGAAAACCUUGGUUGCUGUUUCCGCUGUGAAAAGGAACUAUCCGACUUGGUCGCGAAGCCUGAGCUUUGUUUUACAGCGAUGGCAUUCACAUGAGGUUGCUUGGCACUGGAGCCUUUAUAAACGUGAUCACGACAAAGUGUAUGCUCGCUGACCUUGGGCGGUUCUACAAAUAACUUCGCCCUUUGCUGUGAAAACUCAACCUUGCGACAAUAAGCCUUCAGUUCGGCGACCGACUUAAUAUCCACCAAUGCCAACUGCUGAGUAAAAUGUGGGCGAAUGUUGUGCAACAAGAUGUCCAGCUUCGCCUCCUCCGAACUACUUCCUGAGACCAAAGGAUUUGGAUUUAAAACCUCCGCGCUGCCACUGGGUGCUGCUGGACCUGAACCUGGACCCUCAAUCUUCGCCAAUAAAGUCUCAAGCUUGGAUUGCAAACUAGUCUUCAGUUCUAACAAUGUCUGGUUGCGUUCCGGCUGAACCCUGGCCAGACGGUGAUAAAUAUGGUACCCAAGGGCUUUAGCGCGACUUAAAGAAUAUCUCUCCUUUGUCUCACAAUAUUUGUCAACAAUGGAAGCCAAAUCAAUCACUUUCUCCGAGACAAUGCCUAGCUCCGACUCCGCUGACAGUUCAGUUUCCACUAUGUCCUCGCUAGGAGCUUCUAAAAUAAGAGACCUAAGUUGCUUUCUCAAAGCGUCAACUGUGGUUGCAGGAGUUUCUGACCGAAUUUGAACCUCAUAAAUCAACUCAUCCUUCAAAAGACUGUGAAAUUGAAUGCUGCGCUCCAUUUUUAACUAUUUUAUCAACUGUUGUAUUGAAAAUUCUGGUAUUAACAAUGUGUUUUGUAUGUAUGAUUGUAUCACUUAUGUUGUUUUUAUAAAGAAUAAAUACUACUAAAUAGUGUACUAUUUUCUUUAAACCAAUCUUAAUCUACAAAUAAUGUAACUGUAAUCCUUAAUGAGUAAAGUAUUUUUACUACCGAAAAUGAUUUCUAACUGACAGGUGUGCACUUUCAAACGUCAACUUUCUUUUUAAAUUUGCAAAGUGAAAGCUACUAUCAAAUUGGUUCCAAACAAUACCACAAAAAUCCAAGAAUGUAAUAUUUCCAACAAAAUCCAAUGCUUUUCACUUUAAAUAUGUAAUAAUGAGCUGACAGUAUAAAUGUAAGCAAAUACUCUUAAAAUAAUUGUGUGUACUGAAAUUGGAAUAUCUUUGUAAUAAGUCCGUACCGACAAAAGAAUGCACAAAAACCUUUUAAAUUGCAAUUUUAUGCUUAAAAACGACACAAAUUCACAUCAAAUGUUGAAAUCAAAACUUAGUAUAUAAAAUCAGUGAAAUUUCAAAACAUAUACUUGGUGCAAAGUGCAAAACCACGUUAUUUUUUACGGUUGGCAAUAUAACCUCAAAAAGUCAAAAAGUGUGUGUCACUUUCUCUUCCAAAAAACAACAAAUAAAUGUGUAGCAAAACAGCAGAAUUGCAAUCAAAUCUUCAAAUUAUGAUAUCUAAAAACUAUUCAAUGUAUAAAGAGCAACCAACACUAAACAAAAGCUGGUGCUGAUGCCCUACAAAAUUAAGACAUGGAAAGGACCGACCUCAGGAUGAAAACCUUCCUCAGACGCUGCGGAGUGUCAGGCUGGUUUCCCCGAGAAGGCU